CUUGUGGAGGUUUAGCAAUAAAAAGGGGAUAUAUGCGUUCUCUCAAGCAGUUAAGAACAAGACCAUACUCGAAGUCGAGCUCUUUUGCAUCUGAACAUGUAUUCAAAUAGCAGCUCAAAAGGAGUGUAAGAGGAUUUGGAUUGUUUCGGAUUCCCUAACGGUAGACGUAUCAUAUAAGUUACUAUACUAAAGCGAACAACUUUUC
rnacentral:lncRNA from 1 species